ACAGGAUUCCCACAAGCACCACUGCUGCUGGAGAACAUUAGGUUUUAGUAGAUGGGGUGGUCUAGUGUGUUACUCUUAGUGUUCUAACCCUGUGGCUUUCUACUGCGAAAGGAGAAGAUUCAACAAAGACAUGCGGGCCUCCUCCACCUAUUGACCAUGGGGACAUCACCUCCUUCCCCUUACCAGUAUAUGCACCAUUAUCAUCAGUUGAAUAUCAGUGCCAGUCCUUUUACCAACUUCAGGGCAAGAAGAAAAUAACAUGUAGAGAUGGAGAGUGGUCAAAGAAGCCAAAAUGUUUAAAUCCAUGCAUAGUAUCAGAAGAAAUUAUGGAAAAACAUAACAUAAUUUUCCGAUGGAAAGAAAAAUAAAAGCGGUACUACAAAUCAGGGGAAAUGCAAGAAUUUAAGUGUAAAAAUUGAUAUCACCUGGCAACAUCUCAACUAUCCCAGACAUUUUGCAUCGAUGGUCACAUCAAUUAUCCUACUUGCACAAAAUCACACUAAAAACAUUAGUAGAAUUAAGUCACAUACCUUUGCUCAAUUAAGGUGCAUGCAUAUUAUCAAUAGUUUUAAUUUUACUUUUGAAGUAUUGCUUAACUAAAUUUUAUUCAUAAGUAUAAGCUUGUAUUAUUAUAUUGUGAUUAAUCUGGCAGCAGAAAGUGCUGACACAAAGUCACAAGCAGUUUAUUCAAAGUUCCCAAAACAUGAUGUGUCUCGGAAUAGAUGCAAUUGCUUCCCCAUCUUUCUCUAUCCACCACUUUCCCAAAGCUUCUUCUAUACUUUCUGAUAUACAGUUCUGAUUCACAGUGAACACGAGACAUAGUGUCUCAGUCCUCAAAAAUACAACAUUUCAUAAUCUGAAAGAACAAAAUGUCAUGCUUUAUAUUACUAAUGAAAAUAAGUAAUUUGUGCAUUUUUGUUUUUGUUGCUAAUUAAUAAAUAGGAAGAAUUUGGUGAAUUAACUUCCAAAUAUAAUACUUUUAUAAUUUUAAAUAUUCAAGUAAUUAUACAAAAGACUUAAAUUUGAAUUGGGUAUAAGCAUGCAUUGACUAUCACAAUAUUUUUUUACAGUUAAAGAUUUUUAUUAAAAUAUGAUAGUUUCUUUUCAUCACAUCAGAUCAUUUUUAUUAUAAAGCUAAAAAUAUGCAACACCUGUCUUACUCUUGCUUGGUCUGUUUAGUCCCUGCUGAACUUUUGCCCUUUGACUAGCUUUUUCUCGGUCCCUCUAUUCCAGCCACGUGCUUCCCUCAGUUUUGUGCAAAGGCCACUACAAUUAAGACUUGCACCUGCUAUUCCAUAGUUACAGAUCCUUCCUACUGCUGUUUCUGAUUGAAACCUUCCAAAGCUUAUCUUCUCUUGCUUGUCUUCUUCUAUCACAAUAUUGAUGUUAAAAACCUAUGAAAAUUUUGUGUAACUUGUAAACAGGCAAGUUUUGCCCCCAAAACAAUAAAGAAAAAUGGUGUUAAAUAUAAUAAACAUAAAACCCAAGUUUGUCUUAAUAAAUGGCAGUGUUGCAAGUUGCUGC